rnacentral:rRNA from 1 species
GAUGAACGCUGGCGGCGUGCUUAACACAUGCAAGUCGAACGGUGAACGAGGGAGCUUGCUCCCUCCGGAUCAGUGGCGAACGGGUGAGUAACACGUGAGCAAUCUGCCCUGGACUCUGGGAUAAGCGUUGGAAACGACGUCUAAUACCGGAUACGAGGCGUGGGGGCAUCCCCAACGCCUGGAAAGAACUUCGGUCCAGGAUGAGCUCGCGGCCUAUCAGGUAGUUGGUGAGGUAAUGGCUCACCAAGCCUACGACGGGUAGCCGGCCUGAGAGGGUGACCGGCCACACUGGGACUGAGACACGGCCCAGACUCCUACGGGAGGCAGCAGUGGGGAAUAUUGCACAAUGGGGGAAACCCUGAUGCAGCGACGCCGCGUGGGGGACGACGGCCUUCGGGUUGUAAACCUCUUUUAGCAGGGAAGAAGCGAAAGUGACGGUACCUGCAGAAAAAGCACCGGCUAACUACGUGCCAGCCGCCGCCGUAACAC